GGUGGCUCAGUGGUAGAGCGCUUGCCUUGCAAUGCAUUAGGCCCUGGGUUCGAUUCCCCAGCACCA
rfam:Dipodomys ordii contig_60521, whole genome shotgun sequence.